GGGCUCGCUUCGGCAGCACAUAGUAUACUAAAAUUGGAUCGAUAAAGAGUAGAUUAGCAUGGCCCUUCAAUGAGCGAACACACAAAUCCGUGAAGCGCUCCAUAUUUUA
ensembl:snRNA U6 U6 spliceosomal RNA